rnacentral:rRNA from 1 species
UGAGCAAUCUGCCCUUCUCAUCGGAAUAAGCGUUGGAAACGACGUCUAAUGCCGAAUACGAUUUCCGUUCACAUGAUCGGAGGUGGAAAGCUCCGGCGGAGAAGGAUGAGCUCGCGGCCUAUCAGCUAGUUGGUGUGGGUAACGCCCACCAAGGCGACGACGGGUAGCCGGCCUGAGAGGGUGACCGGCCACACUGGGACUGAGACACGGCCCAGACUCCGUACGGGAGGNAGCG